AGUUACUGGAUAGAAUAUCGAAAAGAGAAUAUCCGACACCGAUUAAGAUGAACAUAUCAAGGAUAGACUCCGAGGGGAGAAAUAGGAAUUAUAUCUAUUAGUUACUAGAUAGAAAACCAAAAGAGAGAAUAUUUGUCACCGGUUAAGAUGAACAUAUCAAGGAUAGACUCCGCAGGGGGAAGCAGGAUUUACAACUACCGGUUACUGGGCAGAAAACCGCAAAG
rnacentral:lncRNA from 1 species